UGGGGAAUCUUGCACAAUGGGCGCAAGCCUGAUGCAGCAACGCCGCGUGCGGGAAGACGGCCCUAGGGUUGUAAACCGCUUUCAGGAGGGAAGAAAAUGACGGUACCUCCAGAAGAAGGUGCGGCCAACUACGUGCCAGCAGCCGCGGUGACACGUAGGCACCAAGCGUUAUCCGGAUUUAUUGGGCGUAAAGAGCUCGUAGGCGGUUCGGUAAGUCGGGUGUGAAAAUCCAAGGCUCAACCUUGGGACGCCACCCGAUACUGCUGUGACUCGAGUGCAGUAGGGGAGCAGGGAAUUCCUGGUGUAGCGGUGAAAUGCGCAGAUAUCAGGAGGAACACCAGUGGCGAAGGCGCUCUACUGGGCCGAGACUGACGCUGAUGGACGAAAGCUAGGGGAGCGAAAGGGAUUAGAUACCCCCGUAGUCC
rnacentral:rRNA from 1 species